GGAAGGGUGGCCGAGUUGGUUAUGGCGCCAGGUUAAGGUCAGCUUAACAUCUGUUUCCUGUGGGGCAACCCGCGCGAGUUCGAGUCUCGUCCCUUUCA
rnacentral:tRNA from 1 species